UAAAAACCCCGACUUCGGAAGGGGUAUAUUUAUUAGAUACAAAACCAAUGCCCUUCGGGGCUCUUUGGUGAUUCAUGAUAACUAUACGAAUCGCACGGCCUUGCGCCGGCGAUGGUUCAUUCAAAUUUCUUCCCUAUCAACUUUCGAUGUUUGGGUAUUGGCCAAACAUGGUUGCAACGGGUAACGGAGGGUUAGGGCUCGACCCCGGAGAAGGAGCCUGAGAAACGGCUACUACAUCCAAGGAAGGCAGCAGGCGCGCAAAUUACCCAAUCCCGACUCGGGGAGGUAGUGACAAUAAAUACUGAUACAGGGCCCUUUCGGGCCUUGUAAUUGGAAUGAGUACAAUUUAAAUCCCUUAACGAGGAACAAUUGGAGGGCAAGUCUGGUGCCAGCAGCCGCGGUAAUUCCAGCUCCAAUAGCGUAUAUUAAAGUUGUUGUGGUUAAAAAGCUCGUAGUUGAACCUUGGGCCUGGCUGGCCGGUCCGCCUCACCGCGUGCACUGGUCCGGCCGGGCCUUUCCCUCUGUGGAACCCCAUACCCUUCACUGGGCGUGGCGGGGAAACAGGACAUUUACUUU
rnacentral:rRNA from 1 species